rnacentral:misc_RNA from 1 species
UUUCGCCCCUAUGCCCAAAUUUGACGAUCGAUUUGCACGUCAGAACCGCUGCGAGCCUCCACCAGAGUUUCCUCUGGCUUCACCCUAUUCAGGCAUAGUUCACCAUCUUUCGGGUCCCAACAGCUAUGCUCUUACUCAAAUCCAUCCGAAGACAUCAGGAUCGGUCGAUGGUGCACCCCAAGGGGUUCCCACCUCCGUUCACUUUCAUUGCGCGCUCGGGCUUGACACCCAAACACUCGCAUAGAUGUUAGACUCCUUGGUCCGUGUUUCAAGACGGGCCGCUUACAGCCAUUACGCCAGCAUCCUAGCAGAAGCGCGGACCUCAGUCCAAGCUGGCCGCAUUGCACCCUGGGCUAUAACACUCCCCGAGAGGAGCCACAUUCCCAGAGCCUUUAUCCGACCGCCUGAACUGAUGCUGGCCUGCCCGCAGAAGAGUGCACCAGACACAAGGCCUGGAUGAGCAACUACGAGCAAGUCUGGCUGCAAGCGCUUCCCUUUCAACAAUUUCACGUGCUUUUUGACUCUCUUUCCAAAGUGCUUUUCAUCUUUCGAUCACUCUACUUGUGCGCUAUCGGUCUCUGGCCAAUAUUUAGCUUUAGAAGAAAUUUACCUCCCAUUUAGAGCUGCAUUCCCAAACAACUCGACUCGUCGAAGGGGCUUUACAAGGCGGAAGCUGCUGGCCACAUACGGGAUUCUCACCCUCUGUGACGCCCUGUUCCAAGGGACUUAGACCACAGCUAACACCAAAGCACCCUCUACAAAUUACAACUCGGACCCCCAAGGGAGCCAGAUUUCAAAUUUGAGCUGUUGCCGCUUCACUCGCCGUUACUAGGGCAAUCCCUGUUGGUUUCUUUUCCUCCGCUUAUUGAUAUGCUUAAGUUCAGCGGGUAUCCCUACCUGAUCCGAGGUCAACUAAAAAGGGGCUUUUGGAGAACCACAACCCCCAGUACCGGGGCGCAAAUGUGCUGCGCUCGAAGCCCAGGGAGAUGGCUGCCAAAAAUUUUUAAGGCGAGUCCAUGGCC